CUAGCUAGGGUGGCGGCGGUGAGUGAAGGAGCCUAAGGUACGGCUUGGUUAGGGACGUAGGGAGAGCUAGGUUUAGGAGGAGCAAAAGGAGAGGACGGUCUAGGUUGGUCGCGGAACGGAGAAGAUGCUUGGCCCCUCGUCUCUGGGUUCCGGCGGAGCUCGAGGUAGCGACACGAUGCGGUGGAGGAGGACCCUAGGAACGGCAAAGGGCGAGGGGCGCGAAAGGAAGAACGGCCUCGGUUCGGUGGCAACGGCGGUGCGUUAGGGGCAGCGACGGAGCAGACGAGCAAGAGCUUCUGCAACUGGCUCGGUAGGGGUUGGAGGUACCUCGCGGCGGACGAGGUCGGCUUCUAGGGACGUCGGAGCGCGCCAGUUCCGGAGCUCGUCCUCGCGGCAAGGACAGAGGAGCGCUGGAACUCGUACUGGAACGAGCGCGGAGGAAACCAAGGGCUCCGACUCGGCGGGGCACGAGCGUUAGGACGUAGCGGAAGAGAGGCACAACGGAGCGGCCAGUAACUGCGAUGGAGGCCUUUAGUAGGGACUACGGCCAGGAACAGGUGUCGUGGAGCCGCGGCGGCGCGGGGCAAAAGCUGGGCUAGACCAGCUCUACCCAGGCCGGACGCAGUCUAGGGCCGCAGGGGUCGAAUGGACUACGCGGCGGUUCGGGAGAGCGGCCGGAGGGUACGAAGACACACGCCCCUGCUGCUGGUCUCUGUUCGGGGAGCAGGGCGGAGACGGGCACAACUGGCGCGGUUCAGGGUGCUGGCUGGCGUGCGUGGACCCGACGGAGUAGAAGCGGACAACUGGCGCAGCUUGCUCGAGCUAGGUGGUCGCGGGCGCGGACCCGGUGGAGACGAGGCCGGGUCGCCGAGGGGAGGCAGCGCACUCCGGGUUUCGGGGUUCGACCGGAGGAGACGUCUACCCGGUUCGGGUACGAAGCCAAAGCAAGACCUCAACACUCCUAGGCAAGUAGAUGCGGGCAAACAGAAGGAGUACCUGAGCAAGAAGAAGGAACGCCCUAGAGUCCGUUCUACUGGUAUGGGAGCUUUAGUGAAGAUAGAAACAAACGAUCUACGAGCGAGAAAACGAUACGGAUACGAUGCUAUGGAUGGUGUACGAUAUAGUACGGAGGGUAUAACGGUACAGUUUGGAGAUUGGGUGGAACAGGAUCGUUUGGCAACAAACCGAUACAAUGGCGAAACGAGUCGGGGAGAAUAUCGCAACAAUCAACGUCCACUUCUAACCUCAAAUAAGGUACAACCUUGUACCUAUACAACCCUAUAGUGUUGUAGAGAAUAAAAUUAAUUACGUAGAUAUAUGAACCAUUUCCCACCUUCCGAGCCGGAAUACGGACCACAAAAAAAAGGUGAGAACGGCGGGAUCAAAGGCAGUAUGGCCACAAUACAAGGAACUAAAACACAAGGAAUGUGCCAACCCAAUAUUACCCUUGGGGAACUGUCAAGCGAAACUUAUUUUGAGGAGGUCGUUCCGGGUUGGAACCAAAAUGGUAAACGUGAUUGUUGGAUGGUGGAAGGGAACCCAAGACGUCUGAGUUCCCAGUAGAAAUAAAAUUGGGGGGCCCGGUCACGAAGAGAUUCAUAACCAGGCUUGACUCAUCUGACGCCCCGGUGGAGCCCCUUUGAACCCCCAACCAAAAUGAGCAUCCUACAGAGUAGGCCACGACGGGACUCUUGCUCUAUACACGUCGAGGAUAGCCCUAACAGCCGCGUAGCCCGCCGAAACGACCAGAUCAAAAUGGUAAAAGCUCUACAGAACAUUAGCCCUAAGGCUCAGACUAGCCUAACAGAACCCUCUUCCUUAUAGGAAGUAACUGGUACUCUAGAACACUACCCGAUUCAACCCUCUGGGGACGUCCCAAUACUUGAAAGCUUUCGGUACGUACGCCAAUACCCGUCUACCCUUAAACAAUUACAGGCCAAUAUCUCUUGAACUUCGAAUUGAAUUAAUUUUACGUAGUUGGCGCACACAUCGGCACUACCAGAGAAGAGCCGCCUCGGGCCCUUCACUUGUGCCACAACCUCUAUACGAACUGCAUCCAAUAAGAUCCUAGUGAAGAACUAGUAUCAAAGAGCUGGCACCGAACGGAAGAGAAGAGCGAGAGUAAACGCAUUCAAUCGGUGGUAUAUACGAUCACGAACGACGUCGAGGUGGAGUAUGGAAAAGGGAUGGAUAUUCGAAUUUAUCAGAACUAGCGCUCCCACACUCUAACGACUCAGGGGUACUGAGUGUCUAAUGAAGGUUUUGGUCAACGUCCACAGCUACUUUGGUACGUCCACUUCGUUGGUUCGAGUUCCUCCUCGAGCUACUUCUAGAACAAGUAACACAACAAAGCAAAGUCAACUAAUCAUCACCUCGGGUCAACCCUGCUAGCCCCUAGACAUCGUAAUCCCCGUCAGAAGAAAAUAAAACCAAGGUAUCAGUCUGGAACUAACAUAGACCUAUUACAUUACGAAAUAAGUCCAUAACACACUUCACCGCUAACAUUCGGUUGAUACAUAGGGAAAGGAAUAAGUAAUGUACCCAACACACUUCUAAUGGAGAGCACGCUGUAACGGAAGUUACGCCAAUACGGAGAUUCAGCACGAGACUGUGUACCCUCUAUAUCGGCGUAGCUCCCACAAUGUCAAUGGGCUUUCCCCAACUGUUGGGGAAAUUGAGAAACCCAAUUCUCAUAAACAAUAAACACACAUCCCCGACAAAUGCAACACAACGAACCAAGAGGAUGAUCAAGCUAUUGGAACCAAAGUAUAGACUCCCUUUAUGGAUGGCGGCGACACGACGUAGUAGGGAAGGAGAGACCCCUUUAUGGCUACAUCGAAGUUCACUGUAGUUUUCCUUAAAGACCGUGGUAACGGCCCUUCCUAGAAGUUGUAUAUGGUCCAAGGAUUAGUGUUUAGAGUAGAGGAGCGUUAAAUGUAAUAAAUGGUAAACGGAGAGCAAAAGGAGAGGGGGUGAAGGGUUUUUAAACGACAAAAUAAGCGGAGAGUAAAAGAAAACGGCAAAAGAACAGCCUAGACAAAAACUCACGUUAGAACAACGUAUCAGUAGUACUAAGUUCUCUUGUGGUUCAACACACUAAACAGUUUAUGGUUAUUGUUACUAAAAUAGCCGUGAGGUUAAGAGGAGGGCGGCGAUCACGUCUCAGAACACUAUAAUUAUGACGAAACGACUUAGGGCAAUAAUUUCUAGUUAAAAGGCCAUGAGGAUUACUCCUACGGCGCAGGGUAGAAUUAUGGAAGUACCUUAAUACACUAUACGUUUUCUUUUUAUACACCUGUUACUACACCACUUCUACUUUAAUAAAGGCAAGAGAAACGUACUAAGACGUUUUUAAACCAAUAGAAGAAACGGAGUGUUAUCAUAACUAAGAACCUUAUUCACGUUUCUAUGAAAAUAGUGAUUCAUAAAAUGCGGGCUUUUUUAAUAAAGGGAAUCUUGGGUCUAGUAAUUAAAGUUCGUUGGAAUUGUACUCGUACAACGCGUUAGAACCCUUUCCUACUUUUACUACGAUUCCUUAACGGGUUGAGUACCCAAUUUAGAUACCUACUAGUAUGUUUAAAAAAGAUGUACCAACUUAAAACAAAGAGCAUUAGAAAAUCUAAGGUGGCACCCACCCUGAAAAUACCUUUAAUGAAACCCACUUCGGUGGUUUAACGAACUAUUAUAGUACCGUUUAAUAAGCGUUACCGUAUGGCUUUCUCGAGGAUGAUCAUUUUUCCAAUUAAACCAACUUCUUUAAAGAAGAAACUCACUUUUUCAACUACGAGACUACUUUAACCAACGAUCAUUUUCACUAGGAUAACUAAAAUUACUAUACGGAAACAGAUUAAACUAACUUGUUAUAUCACUACGGUAUAUACACUUAAAAUAGAGAGUUUUAUUAAAGUUAUUGUUACGGAUACCUCCAUUAAAAUUAGGAUCCGGAAAAGGAUCAUUAAGGAGAUUAUUAAUACCAUUAAGGAUACCUUUAGUUAGUAUAUUAUUAUUAACCUUGUGGAAACUAGAACUCUUAUUAUAAUUUCUUAAAUAGUUAUGCGUUUUUCAAAAGUUGUGAAGGUAUAUUCUUUUCGACUCAUUCUAACUACUAAACAGAUCUUCAUAACUAUCUUAACGAGUACUACACCUUUUAGAGUUAUACUUUUAAAAACACGGAUUCCAACUACUUAGUUAAUUUCGAGAAAUACAAAGAUAGCUACUUUCAUUCUUUUCUUGGCGAUACGAAUCUCGAUUUUCUCUUAAAAAUCUUUUUCGGAAAAGAUCACUAAUGAAAGCGUUUUCACUACUUGUAGAAUUUUACUAACCAAGAUAACUAAGGAACAAAUCAUUUCAAUUCUAACUGCUUUUCCCUGACCACUUCUCAGUUGAAAUCGAUCUUCCGCAGGGUUAUAAAACCUCCCACUUUUAGAACAACUCUUUUAACUAUUUUCACCCAAACUUCUCCAGUUUUGAAAUCGGUUACUACACGGGUGAGAAUACCUAAUGUUUCUGAAAUUAAUACUAUCAACGAGAUUCUAACUAACAUAAAGAGACAACGUUAGGUACUAUUUAAGUGGGGUACGAAUACUUGUUUUAUUUCGAAAAUGAUUUGUAUAACAACUACGAUACUACUUUCGAAAACUUCUUUUUAACCUUGAUCUUCAAAGUUAAGAAUCUUUUAACGUACUACUUACCCUUGGAUUAUAGUUUCAGUUCUAAUUUUUAAUAAUGACAAAACGAAACACACUAAACCCACGAUCACAAAGAUGUUCAGGCUUUAGAAAUACACUACACGAACCAGAAUGGCUAUAACUUAGCACAAGAAACUUAAACGUGAACCGCAUAAGGUGAUAAUUUUUAGGGUACCCUUCUUAAUUACUACAAGAAUAAGAACGUUUAUCUUUAAUACACGGGUAUCUAAAAUAACAAGAACUAUAACUAACGUCAGGCAGAACAGGUUAAUAAGAUCCAUCUGGUAAAAAUGCGUGAUAAUCACGGCACUAACUAUACUUUCUUCCGUUAUAAUACAAGGUUAAAGGAAACUCCUUCCCAUACCUUGUGAAAGGAUCUUGUUCUUAAUCCGGUGGUAUACUUAGUUAGUACUCACAUAGAAUACCUAGAGCUUUGUUCCUACUGUUUUGAAUCUAGGAACGAAAUACGGAUCGAUUCCCGCAUUUUGAUAUCACGAACAACCCUCCGUUGGGUUACUUAUUUUAAAUAAAAACGAAAAGCGAAGGACAAGAACUCACAAUCGUGUUAAUAAGAUGACAAUACUAACACAAAAAUACAAAAUUAAUCACAAACACGGUUCAUUUCGGAAAUCCUAGGAGAACCCACUAUCAACAAACUAGAACGACUUUUUAGUCUUUGAAAACGCGAGUGUUUUUAUUAAGAGUAAAAUUGGUCUCUCAGUAUUUUAUGUGUAAGGAGAACGUCAUCUAGUUAUAUGUUUAAAGAGUCCAACAGGAUUGAAAAGUCUUAAAAACCUAAAUGUCUUCAUAAGCUUUAUCACUCUAACGAUGUCUGAUAAAACAAAACUGUAUAAGAUAAAAGAAACGCAACACACGAACAAAACUACCGAGAUACCAAAAGAAACUACUCAAAAACGGUAUCUUUUCAACCUUAUGUCAUCUAUAUUACGUUCUUGUUUUAUACUUAACCAGACUAUGUAGUGAAUAUCAUCACUAAAUAAAGAAUAUGAUUGCCUAGAGUGCUUCCAAAAUAACUCAAAACACACUAACUUCAAAAGUUCAAGACCCAAUAGAAUGCCACCUACUUCCUUAUUCCUCAUCUUCUCUGAUUCGAACCCCUACGGGACUGUAGGGUUCGAUAAUAGGUUUUUACUUGUUUGUUGAUUCUAACCCCUACGGGGGCUCACCGUAGGGGAGAAAGAAGAUUGCUCGUAACCAUAAAAUGAACUUCGAUAUAAAAAUAAGUAGUGUAUGAUACACAAAAAUAACCUCGCAGAACAUACUAUACUCAGAAAAGAACAAAAUAAAACACAAAAUUCAGAACUGGGGAACGACCUGUGUGGAUAAACUCUCUCGGUUUUAAUACAGUACUGAACAAUCUUAACGAGAGAAACGAAGUGAAUUUAGAAAAAUACUCGAUACCUGAAAGAGAUCACGAAGUGAAUAUAGAAAAACUAGUACCACACGAAUCAUAAAAACUUCUUUAAGAGAGAACGAAGUGAAUCUAAAUAAACUCUCAAUCAUUUUAAAAGUUCUUUAAGAGAGAACGAAGUGAAUUUAAUUAAACUCUCUUUCUUUCUUUAUAAUACGAGUACUAGAAGUGAAUAUAAACAAACUCGAAUACUUUUCCUUGUGUACUUUUAAUCAGGACUUCACUAUCUAUAAGUUCUUCCUAUAUUAUUUUUGAAAGUACUUCUAGUAACCUGUUUUAUUUGAACUAAGAAUCAUUAUCAAAACUCUAUACUACUACACUAUACACUCAGUAGAACUACUCAUUAAUACGAAAUCAUUCUUAUAACCACAAUUCCAAACACUAAGGGAUACGUUCGUGAUUUCAGUUAUAAGUACGUUACUUUAAUAUAGGAUGAACACCACGUAAUAAGUCACAAUUAAUACGAAUUACGAACGAAUACUCUAAUAGGCAAAGAACCAACCAGCGAAGAGUUAGAAAACGAUCGGAAGUAAAACGUGAUUCAUACUAGAGAUGAACACGUAGGUUUUAGAAAAUUUGGUCAAUACGGUGUACUCAGGUGAUAUAGAUGGAUAUACGCUAUAAUAAAACGGUAAGAUUCGUUUAAACGUACACGGUAGAGAUUAAAAGUUUUAUUUGAAGAGAAAACACACAGGUAAAGCGAGCGCCUCGCCACUCCCCACCGACUAUAAAAGGUACGAUCUACACAAUAAGAGCGCUACUCACAAAUAAGUGAACAGUAACGUGCUCUCAUUCCGUUUCCAUAUUCCCUACGGGUCGGGGCUUUACUUUUUUGCUUAAAUGAAAUACAACAGUUUAUUAUUUAAGGAAACCUUUCACAACCAUACCUUCCGUGGGCACCUAUGCCAAUCGGUACCUUUCACUUUCAUACCACCUUUUUCCUUAUUUGAAAUAAAAUAUAAACCCUUGGCGGAUACUAUAUAAAUCGUACCUUUCACAACCCUUGAGAUUCAGCAAAAGCAACCACCCUACCUAUGUGGAGGGUUUUACAAAAAUAGAGAUUCAAAAAGCGAAACUCGAAACUGUGGAGAUGUUUAGGGAUGAAGGGAGACGCUUCCCGGAAAGAAAAUGACAUACGUUAAAAAUAAAACUUAAACUCAGAGGUAGAAGACAAUAUUUUCGUGAUUGAUCCUCCGUUAUACUAGCAUGAACUCACAACCCACAUCGAUUAUACGCUCACACAAAGUACUUACCUAGUUACCAACUCGUACUACGCGAUCCCUAUUGAAUAAAAUCGUAACUAUAAAACUUUCUGUACCAACGAACAACUAUACGAACUCAUAAAUUUAAUAGUACAGUUUAGAUCUGAUAACGAAACUUGUUAUAUUUUCAGGUUUACAGGUACGAUAUUUCUUUCUUAUACUAUACUGUACAAUGCGUCGGAAGGUGUAGUUUUUAAGACAAAAAUAGUGAAGGGAUGAGCUCCUGCUCAUCCUCAAUUCGAACCCCUACGACUAUGCAGAGGUUGCAUAGAUAUUAAAAACUAACAAGGUACGACAAUAUAAUAGUUAGAACGUACAAAAUAUUAGUAAAAUAUCGGUAAAUUAUAGUAAAAAAACCAUGAUUGGAUAACUGUAUCACGGUUCACGGUCAACGAUAAAAAAGGUACAAAAAAUGUACCGUCUUUUAGUUAUGGUUUGCCUCAGGUUUGCGUUGCUUUGAAGUGCCUCUAAAAAAACCUGGUCUUCCUUGUAUUACCCGGGACCGACGCGGACCCCCACGAGACUCCUCUCGUGUUGGGUGGUCCCGUACGAUCCUCCAGGUCCGCGCGGGACCACCCAACACGGGUGGAGCCCACGGGGGGCCUGGUGGAGAAACGAGAUAUUUAUGGGGUUAUAAGAUCUUUGGGAUCCCCUCAGGUACUUUAUAACUAGGUUGAUGGCGUCUCAGGUCUUGGUAGUCUAGGUUAGAUCUGUGGUAGAGCCUACCCCAAGUGGUGGAGGUAACGACGGAGAGGCUACUACGUACUCAUCAAGAAACAUCUGGAAGCCCAGGCAUCAAUUAUCGAUCUACCGAAGGAGAGAGGGGGGGGGAGAGAGAGCAACUAAGAAUUAUGUUACCAGAGAACCUCUAGGUAUACUACAUUGAGAAAAACGCCACACAAACAACCCUAUACUACUUGAAACUCAAAUACUCGUCAAUAAAGAAAAAUAUAGGUACUUUAAUAAACUCAAAGAAACUAGAGAAUAUACGUACUAACGAAUAUCCGAGCAUAAAGAAGAGGUAUUAAACCCAAAACAAACCGGUUGAACUAGAUAAAUAGAACGUUACCUUCUCCACGAAACAUCACCCAAGCUAGAAUGCUACGAACUAGGGUCACUGUCUUCCCCUUGGUUGUGCAUACAUAGUAACGAUGAUUCCUAUUUUA
rnacentral:rRNA from 1 species